rnacentral:rRNA from 1 species
UACGGAGGAUGCGAGCGUUAUCCGGAUUUAUUGGGUUUAAAGGGUGCGCAGGCGGCGAGUUAAGUCAGCGGUAAAAUUUCGGGGCUCAACCCCGACAAGCCGUUGAAACUGGCUUGCUAGAGUGGGCGAGAAGUAUGCGGAAUGCGUGGUGUAGCGGUGAAAUGCAUAGAUAUCACGCAGAACUCCGAUUGCGAAGGCAGCAUACCGGCGCCCAACUGACGCUCAGGCACGAAAGCGUGGGUAG